UUUUCUUAUUCACAUAGAACCAAAAUUGGCAGAGAAGACUUAUUAAUUGACUAACCUCGGGCCAGACGGGUCAAAACUUAAGAAUGUCAAGCUCUUCACAAACAAGCCUCCUACAUGGUAUACACAGCACAUCUCAGAAAUCAUCUCAUCAUUUUCAACUCAUGCCCUUGCCUUCUGCCUCUGUAUACUGCUUCUAACUGCCCUAAUGAUAAAGUUUUUAGGGGUUACAAGAAUCAUCUUC